GAUGAAGAACGCAGCGAAAUGCGAUAAGUAAUGCGAAUUGCAGAUUUCAGUGAGUCAUCGAAUCUUUGAACGCACAUUGCGCCCGCCAGUAUUCUGGCGGGCAUGCCUGUUCGAGCGUCAUUUCAACCAUCAAGCCCCCGGGCUUGCGUUGGGGCCCUGCGGCUGCCGUAGGCCCCGAAAAGCAGUGGCGGGCUCGCUGUCACACCGAGCGCAGUAGCGAUUCUCGCUCCGGGCGUCGGCGGCGGGCACCGGCCGUGAAACCCCCCCACAUCCACAAGGUUGACCUCGGAUCAGGUAGGAAUACCCGCUGAACUUAAGCAUAUCAAUAAGCGGAGGA
rnacentral:misc_RNA from 1 species